rnacentral:lncRNA from 1 species
UUAUAUUUAUAUUUAUAUUCAUAUUUAUAUAUUUAUAUUUAUAGUCGACUGUAUUAUCAAUAUACAAAUAAUGGAAGACAUGGUAGCACCUAAAAGUGCCGUUCAAAAAACGAUUUCUUACCUAAAACACGAUUCUUGUAAAGUUUACUUGUCAUAAAGUUGAAUUUUGUUUCGAUAUAGCAGUUUCGUAGCGUAAUCCACGCUCUUGUCGCGACGUUCAUAGCGAUACAUCUUUAGUCGCAGAUAUGUACGUAAACGAUGUGUAUAAGUUAUUCUAGAUACUAUAUAAACAAAUUUCGAUAUGCAUAAUAAUGAAAUAUUAAAACUUUCGGUUUAGUUCCUUCCUUUUGAUUCGUCUUUUAUGUCCGCGUUCCAUUCAACAAGUAUGCAACGUUAUGACGACGCACUAACACAUAUUUAAAUACGUGUGUGCGUCCAUCUCGCUUCUUUUACUAUCCACAAAAUUAGGCUUCCUUUGAUUAACUUGCUUUCAAUAUUAGAAGAUUAAAAUGUAAAUUUGAAAAUUUCUAAAUUAUCAAACUUUUAAAUUCUCUUCAAGAGAAGUCACACAGUGUACAUAUGGUAUCUAUGCAUAUGUUACAUCAUCUUUUAAUGUAACGCUUCGACAGAUAUGUCAGACUGUUCUAUCAAUGUAUUCGUAGUAAACAAACUUUGGAUAAGAUAUUGUCAUAAUUUUCUCUUUGCGCUGUUCGUUGUUUCUAUUAUAACCAUUCUGUGUCUUUUAGGCAUUUACAUAGAAAAUGUCAAGGGAACAAAUACUGUAAUAGUUUCGAAAGCAACGGAUCCUUCACAAAAACGACGACAUAACGUUUUCACGAUCUGUCACGGACAUUUCCACGUUGCUUCACAAACAAAUUUGCCUAUGUAUAUAGAGUGACACAAAUUAUUUUUCUGUAUAUAAGAUCGUUUGCUACUAAAAGGUAAGCUCGAAGACGCCAUACCCGUACAAAAUUGUACGUAUCAAUUAUUUGGAGGCGACUGUUAGAAAAGAGGGAAACAGCGAUAUCAAAGUAGAGUAAAUAUUUUCUGCGAUUUGAUGAUCGUUGAACAACAACGGCGACGACGACAACAAGAACAAGAACAAGAACAACAACAACAACAACAGCGACGACAGAAAGAAAGAAAGAAGUAAAGAGACGGUUGAGCUUUGUUGCUCUAUAAUAAACGAAUGUGCACGUGUCCGUUCCGAUCACACUUUCUCUCAUGAAAAUCGAGCAAAGAUGGUGUACGAAUCGCUUUAUACUCGAAACGAAGGUGGCUGCUUGGUUGGUUGGCGCGCGCGCAUUACUCUUACUACGUCUACGCUGGACUCGGAUGUUUCAAGAGUUACGAUAUUCCAGAGGGUGUGAGCAUGUGUACUCGCUACCACCCCGCUUAAACCGACGGAGAAAUGGAAAGUACUCGCAGUAUCGAAGAAGAUAGUAUUCGUAAUGGAAUAAAACUGGAAGGACGCUUUGGAUUCGCGGCGCGAAAAUAGGUGGUGGGAGGUGAAGGUUGCAAGAUAACGGCAAGCAACAAAGACGGGAGAACAGCGUCAAGGAGAGAAACUCCUGUUCCACGUCGGAGAGAAUAGAAGCGCACGAUCAACGAACAAGUUCAGACUUAGCGAGAACGAGAUACGACCUCGCGCCAUCGCGUAUAUAUACGAGUAGUUGUAACCGGGCGCAAGCUCGGCAUCAUUGAUUUAACGUGUAUCUAUGGUUUCCUGCAAACUCAAUUUACUAGCCUCUUUCUUCUUCUUAGAAUUAUUGCCGCAAACUUUAACAACUUUUCUAGCUUUCGCCUCCUAUUCGGUUUUCCAAACGAAUUUCUUUUUGUUCCACAUUUGAUUUUAUGUACAAGUACUUGUUG